GAUGAACGCUGGCGGCGUGCCUAACACAUGCAAGUCGAGCGAUCUUCUUCGGAAGAGAGCGGCGGACGGGUGAGUAACGCGUGGGUAACCUGCCCUGUACACACGGAUAACAUACCGAAAGGUAUGCUAAUACGGGAUAAUGUAUUUUGAUCGCAUGGUCGAAAUAUCAAAGCUUUUGCGGUACAGGAUGGACCCGCGUCUGAUUAGCUAGUUGGUGAGGUAAUGGCUCACCAAGGCGACGAUCAGUAGCCGACCUGAGAGGGUGAUCGGCCACAUUGGAACUGAGACACGGUCCAAACUCCUACGGGAGGCAGCAGUGGGGAAUAUUGCACAAUGGGCGAAAGCCUGAUGCAGCAACGCCGCGUGAGCGAUGAAGGCCUUCGGGUCGUAAAGCUCUGUCCUCAAGGAAGAUAAUGACGGUACUUGAGGAGGAAGCCCCGGCUAACUACGUGCCAGCAGCCGCGGUAAUACGUAGGGGGCUAGCGUUAUCCGGAAUUACUGGGCGUAAAGGGUGCGUAGGUGGUUUCUUAAGUCAGAGGUGAAAGGCUACGGCUCAACCGUAGUAAGCCUUUGAAACUGAGAAACUUGAGUGCAGGAGAGGAGAGUAGAAUUCCUAGUGUAGCGGUGAAAUGCGUAGAUAUUAGGAGGAAUACCAGUUGCGAAGGCGGCUCUCUGGACUGUAACUGACACUGAGGCACGAAAGCGUGGGGAGCAAACAGGAUUAGAUACCCUGGUAGUCCACGCCGUAAACGAUGAGUACUAGCUGUCGGAGGUUACCCCCUUCGGUGGCGCAGCUAACGCAUUAAGUACUCCGCCUGGGAAGUACGCUCGCAAGAGUGAAACUCAAAGGAAUUGACGGGGACCCGCACAAGUAGCGGAGCAUGUGGUUUAAUUCGAAGCAACGCGAAGAACCUUACCUAAGCUUGACAUCCUUUUGACCUCUCCCUAAUCGGAGAUUUCCCUUCGGGGACAGAAGUGACAGGUGGUGCAUGGUUGUCGUCAGCUCGUGUCGUGAGAUGUUGGGUUAAGUCCCGCAACGAGCGCAACCCUUGCCUUUAGUUGCCAGCAUUAAGUUGGGCACUCUAGAGGGACUGCCAGGGAUAACCUGGAGGAAGGUGGGGAUGACGUCAAAUCAUCAUGCCCCUUAUGCUUAGGGCUACACACGUGCUACAAUGGGUGGUACAGAGGGUUGCCAAACCGUGAGGUGGAGCUAAUCCCUUAAAGCCAUUCUCAGUUCGGAUUGUAGGCUGAAACUCGCCUACAUGAAGCUGGAGUUACUAGUAAUCGCAGAUCAGAAUGCUGCGGUGAAUGCGUUCCCGGGUCUUGUACACACCGCCCGUCACACCACGGGAGUUGGGGGCGCCCGAAGCCAGAUAGCUAACCUUUUGGAAGCGUCUGUCGAAGGUGAAAUCAAUAACUGGGGUGAAGUCGUAACAAGGUAGCCGUAUCGGAAGGUGCGGCUGGAUCACCUCCUUUCUAAGGAGAAUUACCUACUGUUUAAUUUUGAGAGUUUUUAAUAAAAAAAAUAAAAAACUCUAUUGAUAAUAUUCGACAAAGAUGAUAAAAUAUUUUUCGUUGAAAAGGUUCAAUAAACACAUGGGGGUGUAGCUCAGCUGGGAGAGCACUUGCCUUGCACGCAAGGGGUCAGGAGUUCGAUCCUCCUCAUCUCCACCAUUAGUACUUUGAAAACUGCAUAACAUUUAGUGAUAUGACAUCAUUUUAUAUAUAGACAAUAUAAGUCUUUAAAAUAUGAUUGAGAAGAUAAUCUCUUAAAAAAAUCAAACUUUAAUAACUUGGUCAAGUUAUUAAGGGUGCAGGGCGGAUGCCUUGGCACUAGGAGCCGAUGAAGGACGUGAUAAGCUGCGAUAAGCUUCGGGGAGUUGCACGUAAACUUUGAUCCGAAGAUUUCCGAAUGAGGAAACUCACUUAGAGUAAUGUCUAAGUAUCGUUAAGUGAAUACAUAGCUUAGCGAGGGGAACCCGGGGAACUGAAACAUCUAAGUACCCGGAGGAAAAGAAAGAAAUUCGAUUCCGUAAGUAGCGGCGAGCGAACGCGGAACAGGCCAAACCAAUGAAGUUUUCUUUGUUGGGGUUGCGGACAUGCAACAUGGAUGCACUAUCGUAAAUGAAGAGAGUUGGAAAGCUCCGCCAAAGAAGGUAAUAGCCCUGUAAUUGAAACGAGAAAGCUACUAGCAUGAUCCAGAGUACCACGGGACACGUGAAACCCUGUGGGAAGCAGGAGGGACCAUCCUCCAAGCCUAAAUACUACCUAGUGACCGAUAGCGCAU
rnacentral:rRNA from 1 species